rnacentral:sRNA from 1 species
AAAAGUCGUAACAAGGUUUCCGUAGGUGAACCUGCGGAAGGAUCAUUACAGAAUGAAAAGUGCUUAACUGCAUUUUUUCUUACACAUGUGUUUUUCUUUUUUUGAAAACUUUGCUUUGGUAGGCCUUCUAUAUGGGGCCUGCCAGAGAUUAAACUCAACCAAAUUUUAUUUAAUGUCAACCGAUUAUUUAAUAGUCAAAACUUUCAACAACGGAUCUCUUGGUUCUCGCAUCGAUGAAGAACGCAGCGAAAUGCGAUAAGUAAUAUGAAUUGCAGAUAUUCGUGAAUCAUCGAAUCUUUGAACGCACAUUGCGCCCUUUGGUAUUCCAAAGGGCAUGCCUGUUUGAGCGUCAUUUCUCCCUCAAACCCUCGGGUUUGGUGUUGAGCGAUACGCUGGGUUUGCUUGAAAGAAAGGCGGAGUAUAAACUAAUGGAUAGGUUUUUUCCACUCAUUGGUACAAACUCCAAAACUUCUUCCAAAUUCGACCUCAAAUCAGGUAGGACUACCCGCUGAACUUAAGCAUAUCAAUAGCGGGGAGGA